UUCGACGGAGAGUUUGAUCCUGGCUCAGGACGAACGCUGGCGGCGGGCCUAAUACAUGCAAGUCGAACGCACUCGACCUUCGGGUCACAUGAGUGAGUGGCGAACGGGUGAGUAACACGUGAGAAACCUGCCCUGAAGACCGGAAUAACCCGAGGAAACUCGAGCUAAUACCGGAUAUCCCCAUCUGGUCGCAUGGCCUAAUGAGGAAAUGUUCAGGCGCUUCAGGAGGGUCUCACGGCCUAUCAGCUAGUUGGUGAGGUAACGGCUCACCAAGGCAUCGACGGGUAGCUGGUCUGAGAGGACGAUCAGCCACACUGGGACUGAGACACGGCCCAGACUCCUACGGGAGGCAGCAGUAGGGAAUCUUGCGCAAUGGGCGAAAGCCUGACGCAGCCACGCCGCGUGAGGGAUGAAGGCUCUCGGGUUGUAAACCUCUUUCAGCAGGGACGAAAAUGACGGUACCUGCAGAAGAAGCUCCGGCCAACUACGUGCCAGCAGCCGCGGUAACACGUAGGGAGCAAGCGUUGUCCGGA
rnacentral:rRNA from 1 species